UUAACUCAAAUUUGUAUAAUGUUGGAUCGUUUACGUACGUUUCCCGCUAGGGGCGCUGUUCCAACUGCAUACAAAGUUAACUUA
rnacentral:pre_miRNA from 1 species